UUGUGGUCAGGAUGGAAUAGAAAAGAGAAGCCAGAAGAUGAUUGAAUUUAGGGAAACCGGACGUCCCUGACUAAAAGCCUAGAUCCAGAUAGAAGAGGGGAGCUUUACAGUCAUAGAAAGGAAAACAAUUCAGGAACCAGAAGAUCCAAGAUAAAGAAGCCAUAAUCUUCUCUGAAAGCAAGAAGAAAACAGUUCUCUGUGAACGUCGGUCUGUUUUUUAACCUUGUGCCCCUGUUCUUCCUUUGGUGCAGUUACUAUCCCAUGACAAACUCAGAGCUGAGACUGAGCUUCUGUUGUGAAAAAUCAGUGUAAAAAGGACUUUAAAAUGUUGGACAGAACCGUGUUUUAUUAUAAUUGAAGGUGGCCAUGGAAGCAGGGAGCUAGCAGCCAACUCUCAGCUCUGCCCACUAUGUGGCGCCAUGUCACCUCCACCCAUUCUGGGGGAUGCUUUGGGGAAUCCAAUGAAGACAAUGUUUCCAUAAAUGGAGAUGGCCAAACCUUGCUGCCCCGGGGCUUUUAUACCAUAUCACUGGGCCAACACCGAGAGACAGGAAGGCAGGGACCCAACCUCUUCUGUGGGCUCUGAGCCCAUCAUGGCCAACAGACUCUUUUUCUGGGUCUCCAUUUUUCUCCUGGGAGCAGCUCCCACUGAAACUGGAGUCACUCAGACACCAAGAUACCUGGUCACAAAGGUGAAGCAGGAGGUGACGCUGAGAUGUCAGCAAGAUUUGGGGCACAGUUACAUGUCUUGGUACCAACAAGAGCCACAGAAAGGACCCAGGGUAAUGUAUUCUUAUACCCUUAAAGAUAUGAAUUUAAAUGAGACUGUUUCUCCAAGAUUCGAUUCUGCAUCAUCAGGGAAUGGUCAUUUGACUCUCAAAAUCCACCCUGUGGAAGCAGAGGACUCAGCCACCUACUUCUGUAGCAGCAGCAGAGACACAGCCUGCAGAGUCAUCUUCAAGCUGUGCAGAAACCUCCUGUCCCUGGCAAAGGAGGGAGGGAAGCCACCACACCAGAGAGUUAGCUCACAAAGGGAAGUUCUGGAGGGAAGAGGGAUUCUCAUAACCAAGAGAGUUUUGAGAGGAGCUCUUGUUUCUCAUAUUGGUCUAAUGCACAGUUCUCUGUUUUAUUAGAAAAUGCCAGUCUGCAUUGGCAGGAGAUCUUCACUAGAAGCAUCCUGCUCUGCUGAAGUCAGAUGGACAGUUUAAAACAAAAGCAAAUUUCAUUCCUUCAUAUUACAUUACUUCUGGGGCUUCUUUUUUUCCUAAAUUGUGUUGUAAUGAGGAGACAGAACUCUAUUUGGAGAUGCUAGGGAGUAGUUUUCUAUCUCUGGUCAGCCUGUCACUUUAUUAUCUGCUAAAUGAUUACAACCUUUUUGUGAUAUCAUGGAUAGAACAUCAGCUAAAAUAGAACAUCAGCUAAAUAUGCCUGAGACGGGUCUGAUUCUUUUUGUACAGCAAAAUAACAGUUUGGUCAUGUAUACUUAUUGUGUAUCUAAUUUAC